rnacentral:rRNA from 1 species
GCGAGGAAACCCGCUGAACUU